rnacentral:rRNA from 1 species
AAUAUUGGACAAUGGGCGAAAGCCUGAUCCAGCCAUGCCGCGUGAGCGAAGAAGGCCUUCGGGUCGUAAAGCUCUGUCCUAAGGGAAGAAACGGACGGUACCUUAGGAGGAAGCCCCGGCUAACUACGUGCCAGCAGCCGCGGUAAUACGUAGGGGGCGAGCGUUAUCCGGAAUUAUUGGGCGUAAAGGGUGCGUAGGCGGCCAUUUAAGUCAGAUGUGAAAGACUACGGCUUAACCGUAGUUAGCAUUUGAAACUAGAAGGCUUGAGUGCAGUAGAGGAGAGUGGAAUUCCUAGUGUAGCGGUGAAAUGCGUAGAUAUUAGGAGGAACACCAGUGGCGAAGGCGACUCUCUGGACUGCAACUGACGCUGAGGCACGAAAGCGUGGGUAGCGAACAGG